GCAUUAGUAGCUCAGUACCAGAGCGUUGGUCUUGUAAGUCAAAUGUCGGAGGUUAAAUUCCUCCCUAUUGCC
rnacentral:tRNA from 1 species